rnacentral:rRNA from 1 species
AAACUUUCAACAAUGCAUCUCUUGGUUCUCGCAUCGAUGAAGAACGCAGCGAAAUGCGAUAAGUAAUAUGAAUUGCAGAA